AUGAGCCGCCGGCGCCGUUCCUCGCGGGCGCCUGUGCCCCGGCUGGACGUCGAAGACCUUCUCCAGGACAUCUUUCUCCGCCUCCCUCCACAUCCAUCUUUGCUCCCUCGCCUCUCCCUGGUCUGCAAACACUGGCGUAGCAUCCUCUCCGACCCCGAGUUCCUCGACCGCUUCCGUAGACACCACCAGAACCCCCCGCUGCUCGGCUUUUUCGCCGGGGGAAACUACAGCAGGAACCACGUCUUCACCCCCGUCCUCGACCCGCCCGACCGCAUCCCCGCCGCGCGCUUCCCGCUGCCAUGGCGCAACAGCCCCUGCGAGGAGUGGAACUUCGUCGACUGCCGCCACGGCCUCGCCGUCCUGAUCAACGAGUCACGGCGCGAGAUCGUCGUGUGGGAUCCCCUCACCGACCAACAACGUGCUCUGGCUUUUGCACAAGAACUUGACGACGACAACGGGAAGAGGUACCGGCACGCCGCGGUGCUCUGCGCUGACCCCGAAGAUGGGCAUGUGCACGGCGAUUGCCUCUCGAGCCCAUUCAAAGUGGCCCUGAUCUCCGUGGGACGCAUGCAUGCAUCCGCUUGCCUCUACAAAUCGGAGUCUCACCGAUGGGGAGACAUUGUCUCGACGACCACUAGAGAUAACAUUUGUUUGGUAAGACCCAGCAUCCUGGCAGGGAACACACUCUGUUGGUUGGUUGGGUGCGUCAUCCUUGAGUUUGAUUUUGAAAGGGAGGCCGUUCGUGCGAUCGAGGCGCCCGCGGAAGUUUGGAUCAGCUAUACCGACUAUUGGUCUCUUCAACUCUUGCGGACCGAGGAUGGUAGCCUUAGACUCGCCGUUUUGUCGAAGCAGAAGCUGAGCAUUCAAUUAUGGGAGAGGAAAUUGAGCUAUGACGGUGUUGCUAGUUGGGAGCUACUGCAGAAAACCAUUCCGCUGGAGUUGCUCUUCCCAUGGAGAAUGUGUAGUGGUCACGAGAGGGUGCUGAUGGUGGGGUGUAAUGAGGACACAAGCGUGAUUGUUCUGUCUACGGUGAUCGGUGACUUCUUGCUCCAGAUUGAGCCGACGCAAAUCAGGAAAAUUUCUAAAAGAAACUACAUGUGUAGGAAGAUUUUCUAUCCUUACACAAAUUUUUAUACUGCCUUGUUGCCUAUAUUGCACAAGCAACAGUAA
rnacentral:rRNA from 1 species